rnacentral:rRNA from 1 species
AACGAACGCUGGCGGCAUGCCUAAUACAUGCAAGUCGAACGAUCACUUCGGUGGUAGUGGCGCACGGGUGCGUAACGCGUGGGAAUCUGCCCUUGGGUUCGGAAUAACGUCGGGAAACUGACGCUAAUACCGGAUGAUGACGUAAGUCCAAAGAUUUAUCGCCCAGGGAUGAGCCCGCGUAGGAUUAGCUAGUUGGUGGGGUAAAGGCCUACCAAGGCGACGAUCCUUAGCUGGUCUGAGAGGAUGAUCAGCCACACUGGGACUGAGACACGGCCCAGACUCCUACGGGAGGCAGCAGUAGGGAAUAUUGGACAAUGGGGGCAACCCUGAUCCAGCAAUGCCGCGUGGGUGAUGAAGGCCUUAGGGUUGUAAAGCUCUUUUACCCGGGAUGAUAAUGACAGUACCGGGAGAAUAAGCCCCGGCUAACUCCGUGCCAGCCGCCGCAGUAA